UGUCUUCAAGUUCAUUCCUAACAGAUCUGAUAGCUCCCACAUAAGACUACAAAACAACAUCCGAGAACCUUAGUCGCAUUAACGGGUUAAGCCCACCGAAGUGCCUACACCGGCACUGAGGUCCUUGCACCUCCCACCAGGCGUACCACACCCCACACCGGGGUGCGCUGCAAAGUACGUCACUGUGCGAGUUGUCGUGGCUCUAUCUCUCCCCCUUGUGCGCACAACUAGAGAGGACACCGCCCUGAUCAAUCGAGAGAGCAAACAAGACUCGCUUCGCGUCACAGCGCCCCCCUUCGCUGUACAACUUCUCCAAAAUUGCUUGGUCUCUUGCUGUACAGCUUCUCAAAUUGACUUGGUCUCUUCUUUUGAGCUUAUCUAUAGGACAUCCUGCACUGGUUGCAUCACUCGUGUUGGCCAGACUUGUAAUAUCCCAAAGCAUCUCUGCGCUAUGUAUCAAUCGGAUCCUCUAGUUACUCCUGCGCUUGCUUGCGGUACCUCUGUUGCAACGGUGCUUCCCUUGUCAUUCUUAUCGCUAAUACUACUGGACCCUGUCGGACAGUAGAUCCUCCGUCUGCACACUCCCCUCCAAUUGGUAUAGGCCCUCCAGUCUUCUUUCUCACAACAUCUCUUUGUUUCCAUGAAACUUGAUGCGUCCUCCCUAGCGUCAAAAAACUACAUUCAUUGAAUCUUAGCAAUCCAAGAGAAAUCAAAAAUUUUCUGUAGCAUUAGGAAUAUGUAUGCCUUACCAUCAGUCAACGUCAACAGACCUCCGUCUGCUUACGGAACCGGACUGACCCCUGCCACACAUGUAGCCUGUGUUGUUCGUCAUCCAACACGUCCCUGCAUGGUGCAUAUGUCGAGAACACCUCUCUAUCUUGCAAAAGUGGUUACGUAAGCACUGCCUGAAAUCCAAUAUCCAAUCUAACUUUCCAUCAUCCGAUUCGGCUAAGAUAACAUCAUCUCAUCCUCAUCCAAAUCAUCACUAUUGUCGUGCUGUAUUGAAGAACCGAUCCCGUACUUUAUCCUUUGGACAAUCCCUCUUGAUAUCCCCUCCUGGUCGCAAUAAAAGCACCUACAGUGCGACCUCUCGAUUUGACUCCACAGUCCUUUUCCAGUACCUUUGUGAGACCUUUCCUGACCUCGGCCUCUUUCCAUACUUCCCUCUGAGACUAGGGCCUGUGACUCACUUGAAUCUGUUCGAACACACUCUCUCUCCGAGCAUCUCAUUGAACAGCGGGAUCCAUGACCAUACUCGUAGUCACUUUAUAUUCGGCGCUGAAUUGCUGAGAGAAACCACAAUGUCUCCCACUUCUUUGCAAGGAACUAAGAAGCAUAAGGCCUGUAUCUCAUCGCCAAACUGUAGGUCAACAGGGUCAACUGAUUGACCAAAAUCUGAAAAACUCGUUGUAUGUUCCGCAACUAUGUCUCUCUCUGAAAACUUCAAAUUCACAAGCCUCCUCAUACAUUAAUAAGGCUUUAUUCCGAGAUGUUUUCGCUGGUACUCUCCUCCAAACUGAUCACAAUCAUAAGCACAGUCUCCUGUGCUACAUGAUGGACCACCUCGUGUCCAAUGCAAUAUCUGAUUAGCCCAAUUGGUCUUUAUGUUCAUCUUCUUCCAUUCCCAUCUCGUCGCUAAAGGUUUUUUCCUUUAUCUCCAAAGGGUCAUGCAAAUCUUGCAAAAAUAGGAUGUGUCCUCCCAUCCUAGGUUCCAUAUGACGUUAAUUCGUUGCAUAAAAGACAAUCAUCGAUCCCAAAUAUACUCUGCCAUCUUACUUCUUCCAAAAUAGAAACAAAUAUCGAAAACCAACCCGCGGAUGAAUUAGGAAUGCUGAGAAAAAACCCAGGCAAUGGCUAGAUUGUCAAAAUCAGAAAAUUUUCGGGACCAAAACAAAUUGUCAAAAUCAGAAAGUUUUGCUGGCCAAAUCGACAAUUAAAAGUACUGGGCCCAAAUGACAAAAUUAGAAAACUCCUGGACCAAUUAAAAAUAUUCAAAACUUUAGGGACUAAACUAAAUUAAACAGAAACUCAUAGGAACCAAUCUGAAUUAAUAAAAACUCUAGCGACAAUCUGUAAUUACCCAAAAAAUCAGGGGCUAAAAGUAUAUUUAUCGGUCAAAGUCAACGUCAAACGGUCAACGAUCAGAGGCAACUGACUAGGCACGUGGCUAAGACUAAUCUCAACUCGCCGAGGUUUAGCGGCGGUGCUGAGGGCGCGUCCUGGGACUAGUUUUUUCGACGCGGUUUAGUGCUAGAGUUCCGUUAUCGACAAAAGGAACAAUUGGUGUAAUCAAAAAUUAAUUUUGAGCACUUCCACGGACACCAGACCGAAUUUAACCUGGGCUCCGGAAUCGCCUUGAACUAGGGGAAUCUGAUACCAAUUGUUGGGCUCAAAACUAAUUACCAUCACAACACACACAAAAGACAAUAAAGAUUUACGUGGUUUUUGGCAACGAUUGCCUACGUCCAAGGGAGAAAGUAACAUCCACUUGUCAAAGAAU
rnacentral:lncRNA from 1 species